rnacentral:rRNA from 1 species
UACAGAGGUCCCAAGCGUUGUUCGGAUUCAUUGGGCGUAAAGGGUGCGUAGGUGGCGUGGUAAGUCGGGUGUGAAAUCUCGGAGCUUAACUCCGAAACUGCAUUCGAUACUGCCGUGCUUGAGGACUGGAGAGGAGACUGGAAUUUACGGUGUAGCGGUGAAAUGCGUAGAGAUCGUCAGGAAGACCAGUGGCGAAGGCGGGUCUCUGGCCAGUUCCUGACACUGAGGCGCGAAUGCCAGGGGAGCAACCGGG